rnacentral:rRNA from 1 species
AUAAUUUAUCUCCGUGUUGUAGCUAACGCGUUAAGCACUCCGCCUGGGGACUACGGUCGCAAGACUAAAACUCAAAGGAAUUGACGGGGACCCGCACAAGCGGUGGAGCAUGUGGUUUAAUUCGAUGCAACGCGAAAAACCUUACCACUCCUUGACAUGGAGAUUAGAUCCUUCUUAACGGAAGGGCGCAGUUCGGCUGGAUCUCGCACAGGUGCUGCAUGGCUGUCGUCAGCUCGUGUCGUGAGAUGUUGGGUUAAGUCCCGCAACGAGCGUAACCCUCAUCCUUAGUUGCCAGCGGGUAAUGCCGGGCACUUUAAGGAAACUGCCGGUGGUAAACUGGAGGAAGGUGGGGAUGAUGUCAAGUCAGCACGGCCCUUAUGGGGUGGGCUACACACGUGCUACAAUGGUGACUACAAUAGGUUGCAAUGUCGCAAGGCUGAGCUAAUCCGUAAAAGUCAUCUCAGUUCGGAUUGUCCUCUGCAACUCGAGGGCAUGAAGUCGGAAUCGCUAGUAAUCGUGGAUCAGCAUGCCACGGUGAAUACGUUCUCGGGUCUUGUACACACUGCCCGUCACGCCAUGGGAAUUGGCUUAACUCGAAGCUGGUGCGCUAACCGAAA